rnacentral:rRNA from 1 species
CCGUAGAUGACGCUGGCGGCAUGCCUUACACAUGCAAGUCGAACGGCAGCACGGGAGCAAUCCUGGUGGCGAGUGGCGAACGGGUGAGUAAUACAUCGGAACGUGUCCUGUAGUGGGGGAUAGCCCGGCGAAAGCCGGAUUAAUACCGCAUACGCUCUACGGAGGAAAGGGGGGGAUCUUAGGACCUCCCGCUACAGGGGCGGCCGAUGGCAGAUUAGCUAGUUGGUGGGGUAAAGGCCUACCAAGGCGACGAUCUGUAGCUGGUCUGAGAGGACGACCAGCCACACUGGGACUGAGACACGGCCCAGACUCCUACGGGAGGCAGCAGUGGGGAAUUUUGGACAAUGGGGGAAACCCUGAUCCAGCAAUGCCGCGUGUGUGAAGAAGGCCUUCGGGUUGUAAAGCACUUUUGUCCGGAAAGAAAACCUCUGGGUUAAUACCCCGGGGGGAUGACGGUACCGGAAGAAUAAGCACCGGCUAACUACGUGCCAGCAGCCGCGGUAAUACGUAGGGUGCAAGCGUUAAUCGGAAUUACUGGGCGUAAAGCGUGCGCAGGCGGUCCGCUAAGACAGAUGUGAAAUCCCCGGGCUUAACCUGGGAACUGCAUUUGUGACUGGCGGGCUAGAGUAUGGCAGAGGGGGGUAGAAUUCCACGUGUAGCAGUGAAAUGCGUAGAGAUGUGGAGGAAUACCGAUGGCGAAGGCAGCCCCCUGGGCCAAUACUGACGCUCAUGCACGAAAGCGUGGGGAGCAAACAGGAUUAGAUACCCUGGUAGUCCACGCCCUAAACGAUGUCAACUAGUUGUCGGGUCUUCAUUGACUUGGUAACGUAGCUAACGCGUGAAGUGACCGCCUGG